CAGCCGCCGCGGUAAUACAGAGGGUGCGAGCGUUAAUCGGAUUUACUGGGCGUAAAGCGUGCGUAGGCGGCUAAUUGAGUCGGAUGUGAAAUCCCCGAGCUUAACUUGGGAAUUGCAUUCGAUACUGGUUAGCUAGUGUGGGAGAGGAUGGUAGAAUUCCAGGUGUAGCGGUGAAAUGCGUAGAGAUCUGGAGGAAUACCGAUGGCGAAGGCAGCCAUCUGGCCUAACACUGACGCUGAGGUACGAAAGCAUGGGGAGCAAACAGGAUUAGAUACCCCAGUAGUCCCUGUCUCUUAUACAC
rnacentral:rRNA from 1 species